AACGAACGCUGGCGGCAUGCCUAACACAUGCAAGUCGAACGGGAUCCUAGCUUGCUAGGUGAGAGUGGCGGACGGGUGAGUAACACGUGGGAAUCUGCCUUUUGGUUCGGGAUAACCGCGGGAAACUGCGGCUAAUACCGAAUGCCCUCGAGAGAGGAAAGAUUUAUCGCCAGAAGAGGAGCCCGCGUCCGAUUAGGUAGUUGGUGGGGUAAAGCCUACCAAGCCGACGAUCGGUAGCUGGUCUGAGAGGAUGAUCAGCCACACUGGGACUGAGAUACGGCCCAGACUCCUACGGGAGCAGCAGUGGGGAAUAUUGGACAAUGGGGGCAACCCUGAUCCAGCAAUGCCGCGUGGAGUGAUGAAGGCCUUAGGGUUGU
rnacentral:rRNA from 1 species